GACGAACGCUGGCGGCGUGCUUAACACAUGCAAGUCGAACGGAAAGGCCCUGCUUUUGUGGGGUGCUCGAGUGGCGAACGGGUGAGUAACACGUGAGUAACCUGCCCUUGACUUUGGGAUAACUUCAGGAAACUGGGGCUAAUACCGGAUAGGAGCUCCUGCUGCAUGGUGGGGGUUGGAAAGUUUCGGCGGUUGGGGAUGGACUCGCGGCUUAUCAGCUUGUUGGUGGGGUAGUGGCUUACCAAGGCUUUGACGGGUAGCCGGCCUGAGAGGGUGACCGGCCACAUUGGGAAUGAGAUACGGCCCAGACUCAUACGGGAGGAAGCAGUGGGGAAUAUUGCACAAUGGGCGGAAGCCUGAUGCAGCAACGCCGCGUGCGGGAUGACGGCCUUCGGGUUGUAAAACGCUUUCGCCUGUGACGAAGCGUGAGUGACGGUAAUGGGUAAAGAAGCACCGGCUAACUACGU
rnacentral:rRNA from 1 species